CCUACGGGAGGCAGCAGUGAGGAAUAUUGGUCAAUGGACGAGAGUCUGAACCAGCCAAGUAGCGUGAAGGAUGACUGCCCUACGGGUUGUAAACUUCUUUUAUAUGGGAAUAAAAUGUUCCACGUGUGGGAUUUUGUAUGUACCAUAUGAAUAAGGAUCGGCUAACUUCGUGCCAGCAGCCGGGGUAAUACGGAGGAUCCGAGCGUUAUCCGGAUUUAUUGGGGUUAAAGGGGGCGUAGGUGGGAUGUUAAGUCAGUUGUGAAAGUUUGCGGCUCAACCGUAAAAUUGCAGUUGAAACUGGCAGUCUUGAGUACGGUAGAAGUAUGCGGAAUGCGUGGUGUAGCGGUGAAAUGCUUAGAUAUCACGAAGAACUCCGAUUGCGAAGGCAGUUCACUGGACUGCAACUGACACUGAGGCUCGAAAGUGUGGGUAUCAAACAGGAUUAGAUACCCUGGUAGUC
rnacentral:rRNA from 1 species